ensembl:snRNA U6 U6 spliceosomal RNA
GUGCUCACUUUGGUGGCACAUACUCUAAAACUGGAAUGAUACACAGAAGAGUAACAUGGCCCCUGUGCAAGGAUGACAUGCAAAUUCAUAAAGCCUUCCAUAUUUUU